AAAGCAGGACGCAAUUACAGUGCUAAAUUUUGUGUUUGUACUGUCAUUAUCCUGCUGAGAGUAUUCUUCUGUUACAGAGUCAUAAGUACUGUCAUCCUGUAUGACAAGUAAAUGCUCUUGUUUCAGAGACACAA